rnacentral:rRNA from 1 species
GACGUAGGGCGCGAGCGUUGUCCGGAUUUAUUGGGCGUAAAGAGCUCGUAGGCGGCUCAGUAAGUCGGGUGUGAAACCUCCAGGCUCAACCUGGAGACGCCACCUGAUACUGCUGUGGCUAGAGUCCGGUAGGGGAGCGUGGAAUUCCUGGUGUAGCGGUGAAAUGCGCAGAUAUCAGGAGGAACACCAGCGGCGAAGGCGGCGCUCUGGGCCGGAACUGACGCUGAGGAGCGAAAGCUAGGGGAGCAAACGGG